UGCCUAAUACAUGCAAGUCGAGCGAACAGACGAGGAGCUUGCUCCUUUGACGUUAGCGGCGGACGGGUGAGUAACACGUAGGUAACCUACCUAUAAGACUGGGAUAACUUCGGGAAACCGGAGCUAAUACCGGAUAAUAUUUCGAACCGCAUGGUUCGAUAGUGAAAGAUGGCUUUGCUAUCACUUAUAGAUGGACCUGCGCCGUAUUAGCUAGUUGGUAAGGUAACGGCUUACCAAGGCAACGAUACGUAGCCGACCUGAGAGGGUGAUCGGCCACACUGGAACUGAGACACGGUCCAGACUCCUACGGGAGGCAGCAGUAGGGAAUCUUCCGCAAUGGGCGAAAGCCUGACGGAGCAACGCCGCGUGAGUGAUGAAGGUCUUCGGAUCGUAAAACUCUGUUAUUAGGGAAGAACAAACGUGUAAGUAACUGUGCACGUCUUGACGGUACCUAAUCAGAAAGCCACGGCUAACUACGUGCCAGCAGCCGCGGUAAUACGUAGGUGGCAAGCGUUAUCCGGAAUUAUUGGGCGUAAAGCGCGCGUAGGCGGUUUUUUAAGUCUGAUGUGAAAGCCCACGGCUCAACCGUGGAGGGUCAUUGGAAACUGGAAAACUUGAGUGCAGAAGAGGAAAGUGGAAUUCCAUGUGUAGCGGUGAAAUGCGCAGAGAUA
rnacentral:rRNA from 1 species